rnacentral:rRNA from 1 species
CCUACGGGUGGCAGCAGUGAGGAAUAUUGGUCAAUGGGCGCGAGCCUGAACCAGCCAAGUAGCGUGAAGGAUGACUGCCCUACGGGUUGUAAACUUCUUUUAUAAAGGAAUAAAGUGAGGCACGUGUGCCCUUUUGUAUGUAUUUUAUGAAUAAGGAUCGGCUAACUCCGUGCCAGCAGCCGCGGUAAUACGGAGGAUCCGAGCGUUAUCCGGAUUUAUUGGGUUUAAAGGGAGCGUAGGUGGAUUGUUAAGUCAGUUGUGAAAGUUUGCGGCUCAACCGUAAAAUUGCAGUUGAAACUGGCAGUCUUGAGUACAGUAGAGGUGGGCGGAAUUCGUGGUGUAGCGGUGAAAUGCUUAGAUAUCACGAAGAACUCCGAUUGCGAAGGCAGCUCACUGGACUGCAACUGACACUGAGGCUCGAAAGUGUGGGUAUCAAACAGGAUUAGAUACCCCUGUAGUC